rnacentral:rRNA from 1 species
CUGCUCAAUGAAUAUUAAAUAGCCGCGAUUUUAGUGCUAAGGUAGCAUAAUCAUUCGUCUUUUAAUUGAAGACUAGAACAAAAGAUUAAACAUUUUAAUUAAUUUAUUUAAAAUAUAUUUUAAAAUUUUCUAAAAUGUAAAAAGACAUUUAUAUUAAAGAAAGACGACAAGACCCUGUUGAACUUAACUAUAGUUAAACUGGGGCAGUUCAAUAAUUAUUAUUUUAUUAAAUUUUCAAAGAAAAAUAUCUAUUAUUAAUAAUAAAAAGUUACCAUAGGGAUAACAGCAUAAUAGAUAUUUAAAGAUCUUAUAUAAAUAUAAUAUUAUGACCUCGAUGUUGAAUUAAUAACCUAUAUUUAUGCAAUAAUUAUACAAAGGAAGUCUGUUCGACUUUUAAAAAAUUACGUGAUCUGGUC